rnacentral:sRNA from 1 species
AUAUCUCUCUGUACGGGAAGGAUGAGAAGCUUCGACUAAGGUUCGAUUCGAGCGUCAGCGAGAAAGCGUUGCCGCAGGCAACGACCCGAAGGGCGAAGCGCGCAGCGCUGAGUCAGC